rnacentral:rRNA from 1 species
UGAGCUUGAUCCUGGCUCAGGAUGAACGCUAGCGGCAGGCCUAAUACAUGCAAGUCGAACGAUAUUUCCAGCUUGCUGGGAAGAAAGUGGCGCACGGGUGCGUAACGCGUAUGCAACCUACCUUGAUCAGGGGGAUAGCCCGAAGAAAUUCGGAUUAACACCGCAUAAAAACACAGUACAGCAUUGUACAAUGUUCAAAUAUUUAUAGGAUCAGGAUGGGCAUGCGUGACAUUAGUUAGUUGGCGGGGUAACGGCCCACCAAGACCACGAUGUCUAGGGGAUCUGAGAGGAUGACCCCCCACACUGGUACUGAGACACGGACCAGACUCCUACGGGAGGCAGCAGUAAGGAAUAUUGGUCAAUGGAGGCAACUCUGAACCAGCCAUGCCGCGUGCAGGAAGACAGCCCUCUGGGUCGUAAACUGCUUUUAUUCGGGAAUAAACCUGCUUACGUGUAAGUAGCUGAAUGACCGAAGG